rnacentral:rRNA from 1 species
UUAAGCAUAUCAAUAAGCGGAGGAAAAGAAACUAACAAGGAUUCCCCUAGUAACUGCGAGUGAAGCGGGAAAAGCUCAAAUUUAAAAUCUGACAGUUGUUCUGGCUGUCCGAGUUGUAAUCUAGAGAAGUGUUACCCGCGCUGGACCGUGUACAAGUCUCCUGGAAUGGAGCAUCAUAGAGGGUGAGAAUCCCGUCUUUGACAUGGACUACCAGGGCUUUGUGGUGCGCUCUCAAAGAGUCGAGUUGUUUGGGAAUGCAGCUCAAAAUGGGUGGUAAAUGCCAUCUAAAGCUAAAUAUUGGCGAGAGACCGAUAGCGAACAAGUACCGUGAGGGAAAGAUGAAAAGAACUUUGGAAAGAGAGUUAAACAGUACGUGAAAUUGCUGAAAGGGAAACGCUUGAAGUCAGUCGCAUCGACUGGAAAUCAACCUUGCUUUUGCUUGGUGUAUUUUCUGGCUUUGAUGGGUCAGCAUCAAUUUUGAUCGCUGGAUAAAGGCUUGGGGAAUGUGGCAUCUUAGGAUGUGUUAUAGCCCUUGGUUGCAUACAGCGGUUGAGAUUGAGGAACUCAGCACGCCGCGAGGGCGGGUUUCGACCACGUUUACGUGCUUAGGAUGCUGGCAUAAUGGCUUUAAUCGACCCGUCUUGAAACACGGACCAAGGAGUCUAACAUGCCUGCGAGUG